AAUUGAUGACGCCGUUGACUUUUUCGCAUAUGUUUGAUUAUUCGUCUUAUUCAAAAAAUUUACGUAAUUAUAAUUUAUUUUGUUAUAAGAUAUUUUAUCACUUAUAGUACUUUAAGUGUGAUUUAUAUCUUAUACAUUUGCAUAAAAUUUUUAAAUAAAACGAAUGAUUAAACAUGUGAGAAAAAGUCAAUGGCGUCAGACGGA
rfam:Oryza nivara chromosome 3, whole genome shotgun sequence.